rnacentral:tRNA from 3 species
GGGUCGAUGCUCGAGUGGUUAAAGGGGACGGAUUGUAAAUCCGCUGGCGGCGCCUACGCUGGUUCAAAUCCAGCUCGACCCA